rnacentral:rRNA from 1 species
AUUGAACGCUGGCGGCAGGCCUAACACAUGCAAGUCGAACGAGUGGCGGACGGGUGAGGAAUGUCUGGGAAACUGCCUGAUGGAGGGGGAUAACUACUGGAAACGGUAGCUAAUAACGCAUACCAUCAGAUGUGCCCAGAUGGGAUUAGCUUGUUGGUGGGGUAACGGCUCACAAAGGGGACGAUCCGUAGCUGGUCUGGGAGGAUGACCAGCCACACUGGACCUGAGACACGCUCCAGACGCCUACGGGAGGCAGCGGUGGGGAAUAUUGCACAAUGGGCGCAAGCCUAAUGCAGCCAUGCCGCGUGUAUGAAGAAGGUCUUCGGAUUGUAAAGCACUUUAAGUUGGGAGGCGUUACCAACAGAAUAAGCACCGGCUAACUUCGUGCCAGCAGCCGCGGUAAUAC